UACGGGGGGGGCAAGCGUUGUUCGGAAUUACUGGGCGUAAAGGGCUCGUAGGCGGCCAACUAAGUCAGACGUGAAAUCCCUCGGCUUAACCGGGGAACUGCGUCUGAUACUGGAUGGCUUGAGUUUGGGAGAGGGAUGCGGAAUUCCAGGUGUAGCGGUGAAAUGCGUAGAUAUCGUAAGGAAGACCAGUGGCUAAGGCGGGUCUCUGGACAGUUCCUGACGCUGAGGCACGAAGUCCAGGGGAGCAAACGGG
rnacentral:rRNA from 1 species